CAGUAGCCGCGGUAAUACGAAGGGUGCAAGCGUUACUCGGAAUUACUGGGCGUAAAGCGUGCGUAGGUGGUGGUUUAAGUCCGUUGUGAAAGCCCUGGGCUCAACCUGGGAAUUGCAGUGGAUACUGGGUCACUAGAGUGUGGUAGAGGAUAGUGGAAUUUCCGGUGUAGCAGUGAAAUGCGUAGAGAUCGGAAGGAACAUCUGUGGCGAAGGCAACUAUCUGGGCCAACACUGACACUGAGGCACGAAAGCGUGGGGAGCAAACAGGAUUAGAGACCCCCGUAGUCCCUGUCUCUUAUAC
rnacentral:rRNA from 1 species